CGAAAGCCUGAUCCAGCAAUGCCGCGUGAGUGAUGAAGGCCUUAGGGUUGUAAAGCUCUUUUACCCGGGAUGAUAAUGACAGUACCGGGAGAAUAAGCUCCGGCUAACUCCGUGCCAGCAGCCGCGGUAAUACGGAGGGAGCUAGCGUUAUUCGGAAUUACUGGGCGUAAAGCGCACGUAGGCGGCUUUGUAAGUUAGAGGUGAAAGCCUGGAGCUCAACUCCAGAAUUGCCUUUAAGACUGCAUCGCUUGAAUCCAGGAGAGGUGAGUGGAAUUCCGAGUGUAGAGGUGAAAUUCGUAGAUAUUCGGAAGAACACCAGUGGCGAAGGCGGCUCACUGGACUGGUAUUGACGCCGAGGUGCGAAAGCGUGGGGAGCAAACAGGAUUAGAUACCCUGGUAGUCCACGCCGUAAACGAUGAUAACUAGCUGUCGGGGCUCUUAGAGCUUCGGUGGCGCAGCUAACGCAUUAAGUUAUCCGCCUGGGGAGUACGGCCGCAAGGUUA
rnacentral:rRNA from 1 species